rnacentral:rRNA from 1 species
AGAGUUUGAUCCUGGCUCAGAGCGAACGCUGGCGGCAGGCCUAACACAUGCAAGUCGAACGGACCUUUCGGGGUUAGUGGCGGACGGGUGAGUAACACGUGGGAACGUGCCUUUUGGUUCGGAAUAGCUCCUGGAAACGGGUGGUAAUGCCGAAUGUGCCCUUUGGGGGAAAGAUUUAUCGCCAUUAGAGCGGCCCGCGUCUGAUUAGCUAGUUGGUGAGGUAAAGGCUCACCAAGGCUACGAUCAGUAGCUGGUCUGAGAGGAUGACCAGCCACAUUGGGACUGAGACACGGCCCAAACUCCUACGGGAGGCAGCAGUGGGGAAUCUUGCGCAAUGGGCGAAAGCCUGACGCAGCCAUGCCGCGUGUAUGAUGAAGGUCUUAGGAUUGUAAAAUACUUUCACCGGUGAAGAUAAUGACUGUAGCCGGAGAAGAAGCCCCGGCUAACUUCGUGCCAGCAGCCGCGGUAAUACGAAGGGGGCUAGCGUUGCUCGGAAUUACUGGGCGUAAAGGGAGCGUAGGCGGGACAUUUAAGUCAGGGGUGAAAUCCCAGAGCUCAACUCUGGAACUGCCUUUGAUACUGGGUGUCUUGAGUGUGAGAGAGGUAUGUGGAACUCCGAGUGUAGAGGUGAAAUUCGUAGAUCUUCGGAAGAACACCAGUGGCGAAGGCGACAUACUGGCUCAUUACUGACGCUGAGGCUCGAAAGCGUGGGGAGCAAACAGGAUUAGAUACCCUAGUAGUCC